AGAUUUCAGCUGGAAGGGAAGGAGCUGACAGGAAGGCGCUGUGCAGAGCCUCCCCACCCCCGCCCAUCCCCCCAGUUACUGACAGAGGAGCCAUUUACAAAAGGCCGAUUCUCUGGGGAGUGGAGAGGCAGGAACGCAGCGUCUAUGAAGACUGGCCCAUUUGCAGAGCACUCCAACCAGCUGUGGAACAUCAGCGCCGUCCCUUCCUGGUCCAAAGUGAACCAGGGUCUCAUCCGCAUGUAUAAGGCCGAGGCUGGCCCUUGUGACUAGUUCAUGGCCUCAGACACUGUACUGUGGGCACCAUCUCUUGACUCCUGGCCGGCCUUCUCUUCUGGGAAGGGGCUGCUCCAGGUCUUCAUUGGACCCAGAGCUUCCUGGAUCCCAUCAGCAGAGGCGGGACAACGGGGAAGGGUGCCAGAGGCCAGCGGGGUGGGGGAGCACAGAUGCUUCCAGUUGGCUUGGCUCCCUGCACUUGGUCCUGAAGGGGUUAAUGAGGCUUGAACUGAACAGACCGGGCCCUCACUCCCUUCCG
rnacentral:lncRNA from 1 species